UGAGUGAUCAUUACCGAGUUUACACUCCCAACCCCUGUGAACAUACCUAUACGUUGCCUCGGCGGAUCAGCCCGCGCCCCGUAAAAAGGGACGGCCCGCCCGAGGACCCCUAAACUCUGUUUUUAGUGGAACUUCUGAGUAAAACAAACAAAUAAAUCAAAACUUUCAACAACGGAUCUCUUGGUUCUGGCAUCGAUGAAGAACGCAGCAAAAUGCGAUAAGUAAUGUGAAUUGCAGAAUUCAGUGAAUCAUCGAAUCUUUGAACGCACAUUGCGCCCGCCAGUAUUCUGGCGGGCAUGCCUGUUCGAGCGUCAUUUCAACCCUCAAGCUCAGCUUGGUGUUGGGACUCGCGGUAACCCGCGUUCCCCAAAUCGAUUGGCGGUCACGUCGAGCUUCCAUAGCGUAGUAAUCAUACACCUCGUUACUGGUAAUCGUCGCGGCCACGCCGUAAAACCCCAACUUCUGAAUGUUGACCUCGGAUCAGGUAGGAAUACCCGCUGAACUUAAGCAUAUCAAUAAGCGGAGGAA
rnacentral:rRNA from 1 species